rnacentral:lncRNA from 1 species
UCUGUGAUGGAGAAUCCUCAAUUCAAAAAUAUCCUACAGCAGGUAUGGAGUCAAGGAGGACAUGGAACACCAAUGCAACAGAUAUGGCAUAAACUUAAAGAAAUGAAGCAGCAGCUGAAGGACCUCAAUAGGUACAUGGCUUCUUACCAACAAAAAUUGAUCCAAGCAAGGGAGAAGCUGGACAUUAUCCAAAGCCAGUUNNNN